UACGUAGGGACCAAGCGUUGUCCGGAAUCAUUGGGCGUAAAGCGCGCGUAGGUGGCUUCGUAAGUCCGUUGUGAAAGUCAAAGGCUCAACCUUUGAAAGCCGAUGGAUACUGCGGAGCUAGAGUACGGAAGAGGCGAGUGGAAUUCCUGGUGUAGCGGUGGAAUGCGCAGAUAUCAGGAGGAACACCGAUGGCGAAGGCAGGUCUCUGGGCCAUUACUGACACUGAGAAGCGAAAGCAUGGGGAGCGAACAGG
rnacentral:rRNA from 1 species